GCCCUGAUAAAUACCUCUGGGAUCCAGCAGCAGGCUCAAGGGGUCGCAUUUUUAGGGUAAGGCUUUAGCUACAGCACAACCCUCUGAAGCCUCCGCAGCUACUCACCCUAAUAUCUGUCAGCAGAGGUCACCCCAGGCUCCGCCCCACAGAUCUCCCACAACCAGAUCCUGAAGGUGCAGCAGCUCUGGGGCCGCUUAGUUCUCCUGCAAAGAGAAGGAGCGAGAAAUCUUAAGUACAAAACAGAGAGAGUCCUAGCCCCAGACCUCUGAUGGUGGGACAGGACUGUGGCCACUGAGGAAGGGCAGCACCUCUCAGUUGUCCUGCUGUAUCCAUGGGGCUGCAUCUUGUACUCCCGACCUGCGGCCACUUAGUGUCACCACUGUUGACCGGUGAUGAGUCCUCGCUUCCCCGAAUGCUGAAGUAUGACACCAGAGAAGCCCGCGGAGGCCAGGGGAGAGUGGACGGUGGACGCUUUAUUAAAGGACAGCAGAGAAGACUUCUCCCU